UACGUAGGUGGCAAGCGUUAUCCGGAAUCAUUGGGCGUAAAGGGUGCGUAGGCGGUCGAUUAAGUCUGUAGUGAAAUCGUGGAGCUCAACUCCAUCAAGCUACGGAAACUGGACGACUAGAGUGCGGUAGAGGCUAGUGGAAUUCCAUGUGUAGCGGUAAAAUGCGUAGAUAUAUGGAGGAACACCGGUGGCGAAGGCGGCUAGCUGGGCCGUAACUGACGCUGAGGCACGAAAGCGUGGGGAGC
rnacentral:rRNA from 1 species